rnacentral:lncRNA from 1 species
CCCCAUAUAUUAGUAACUUAAGCAUCCACAUCAUGAAGUGUAUAUAAGUCUUUUCUGCUAGUUUAUAAAUUCAAUUCAUUUUUAGGGUUUUUGUCUUUGUGAUCAGUAGAGCCAUUUUGGCAUUCUGUCCACCUCCAUUGCUAGCUCCAUAUCUUUCAAUGAGGAGGGGGCCAGAGUGCCAAACUAGCUCUGCAAAUUUCUCUUUGAGAAAACGCUCAAAUCAUAUGCCACAACAACGUAACCCCAGCUUAAUUCUUCAUUCUUGGUAUGUUGCUUAACACGAGCUUGUUUCUUGUUAUCCUUCUUAAUUUUGCACGUUUGAAUUAUAUUCGGUCUUUUAUCACUUUAUGUUGACUGGUUAUACGUACCUUGGAAAGAAUAAUAGCUUAGCUUAGUCUUACAUUACAGGAAUCACCUUGAUACGUACUAAACCUGAUCGAGCCCAAGAUCUUCUUGGAAAACUUGUCUGGAAAAUGCGAAAGCUCUUCUUUGUGGCAGCUAGUUAUGAAUAAAACUAGUGUCCUGUAGUGUUUGGGUCCAAAAAUAAUUGAUGCUUUAGCACCCAGUACUGUCGUCAUUGUAACUCUAGUAUAUAUUAAUUCUUGCUUGUUAAUUUAUUUAUCUAUUUCUUGAAGAGAAGCUAUAUAUAUCUACGAAAGAUAGUUUUCCUUAAAAGUACGUUACUACUAUGAGAG